CCUACGGGUGGCAGCAGUGAGGAAUAUUGGUCAAUGGGCGCGAGCCUGAACCAGCCAAGUAGCGUGGAGGAUGACUGCCCUACGGGUUGUAAACUUCUUUUAUAAAGGAAUAAAGUGAUGCACGUGUGCCUUUUUGUAUGUACUUUAUGAAUAAGGAUCGGCUAACUCCGUGCCAGCAGCCGCGGUAAUACGGAGGAUCCGAGCGUUAUCCGGAUUUAUUGGGUUUAAAGGGAGCGUAGAUGGGUUGUUAAGUCAGUUGUGAAAGUUUGCGGCUCAACCGUAAAAUUGCAAUUGAUACUGGCAGUCUUGAGUACAGUAGAGGUGGGCGGAAUUCGUGGUGUAGCGGUGAAAUGCUUAGAUAUCACGAAGAACUCCGAUUGCGAAGGCAGCCUACUAAACUGCAACUGACAUUGAUGCUCGAAAGUGUGGGUAUCAAACAGGAUUAGAUACCCGGGUAGUC
rnacentral:rRNA from 1 species